CCGCCCCCCGCCGUCUCGCCCGCCCCACCGCCCCGCCCGUCCCGCUUGCCGUGGCCAUGGCCGAUGACCGCGGCGCAGCAAGGACCGUCCGCCUCGCCUCUCCUCCUCCCCAUAGGCCCCCAUCAAGCUCACGCUCACUGCUCUGGGUCGCGCGCCACCGCGCCCCCGGUCAACUCUGCACGGGCCGCCUCCCUCCUCCUCCUCCCCAUCGGGAUCGGGCAGGAGGAGCGCAGGAAGGUCAUGGGUCACCUCCCUCCUCCUCCCCAUCGGGACCGGGCAGGAGGAUGAGCGCCCUCCCUCGUGACCGCCUCAACGGGAGAAGGGAUGCGGCCGUCGCUGCCGACGAGGACAUCGCUGGUGAGCGCGGUGGCAGCCAUCGACGACCUCGAGCGUGUGGGCGCGUUGGUGAGCGCGGCGGCAGCCGUGACCGUGGCCGAGCUCGAGCCCUGGCGCAGCAGCGCGUUGUUGAGCACGGCGGCGGCCCGACCAUGGCCGAGCUUGAGCAUCUCAGUCUCCGAUGGCUCCUGCGCGUGCCGCUCCUGGGUGAGGUUCUGAAGAGCCACUGUUUGUUCCGUUCGUCGAGGAUUCGACCGUCCUGCCGACUACUGCUGCGUCGAGAUGUUGCAAGGCUUCGGUUGACAGGCUUCACACUUUGAUAUUUUUCUUUGGACGACCACUAUCAUUGAUUAUGUGUGUGACAUUUCCUGGCUGAUGUGGUCCAAGGGCAAUUAUCAAGUGGUCGGGGUUGCGGAGGAGAAUGUGAGGUUUCAGAAUAAUCUCCCACCACCACCACGAUUCAUAUCUGGAGAAGCUUUGUGGAAUCCGUGGUGUUGUCCUUCUCGUACUAUGGUUGCUGGCCUAUGGGGAAUCAGGAUGGACAUUGAGAAAAGUGGCAGCAGCGGGUGGCAGGUGUUGUGGCCGAGGAGCUCCAGCACACACCCACAUUUUCGCUUGUUGACCUGGCAGCUCUUCACCGAGGUUUGCUGCUUUGGUUUGGCUGGGAUGUGUGCCUCCAUGGUUGGGCCGUGUGGACUACUGGCAAGGAUGGAGAAGCAUAGGAAGGUGUCACCAUUGCAUAGACUCUAUUAUAGCCAUGCUAGCUACUUGGCCAUGUCAUUUUGUUCACACAGGUGUGUCCACAACAACUCUGAUAGUGCCAUGCCGGACACGGUAUCAUUAAACAAGGACUCUUUUGGCGGACUCUUUUAUCACCAGUUUCCUGGCGCUAAGUCUCCAAACGGUUCAGCUUUGCUUCAGUCCUCUCUUGAGGCCAGAGCAGUAACAUGAGAAAAAACAUCGUAUUAGCUUCUGUAUUAACAAGUGUAAUUAUGUAGUACUAUAUUUUGAUCGGUUUUGUUUCCUCUAUACUGCCAAAAAAUCAUAUUUAGACUGCAUUACACAACAGCAAGAAUAUUGCCAUACAACUCAGAUUCAUAUAACUUACAGUAUGUUCCAUGAUAAAUGUGUCCAGCAGGGGCUGGACAUAUUGUUUUUUGCUUCAUAGUUCAUUUUGAAUGAAAAUAACAAAUGGUUUCAACCUCCAUGGUUGACCUGUUUUGUCAUUGUUCUCUCCGUACAAAGGCACCAAUACCUAACAUUUAUCCUAACAGAUUCAUGGGUCCAAGAAUAGGGUCAGACCGGACCGGACCUGUUGAAUCUUGAGUGACACAGAUGUCCUGUUGGUGUGAGGUGGGGAUUUUUAGUUUAGAAGAGCUUGAGACCUUGUUACAUUUCAAAGUAGCAGCUCACAAAUGGGCACCCCAUUUGGUCAUCAUGUGGGAUCAUGGGUUUAUCAUACAUGUUUUGUCUAGCACAACUAUCAAAAUCCCCUCACAGUUUGAUUUAGCAUACUAUUUAGACCCUGAUGCUCUUAAACUAACGCAUGCAAAAGCAUUUGAAAUCACACUAUUCAGUACAACAUUUUCUUCAAAAUAUCACUUUUGGAUAUCAAACUUACUUACAGUCCAGGACAAAUGAAAUAUAAAACUUAAUUGCAUCCAUUAAGAAAUAGGAGUCAAUGUAGUUUCUCAUGUACUUUUCUACAUGAGAGGUGGUAAUCGAACAAAUAAAUAUAUCUCCACUGCAAUUCAGAAAAAAAAUUGUGUGUUCAUUUCAUGCCCAGAGUCUUGCAGGUUGUAAGUGUGUCAAUAUAUUUAUGUGGUUCCUUACGUCUUUGUUUCAUAUCUAUUUCAUGUUUUCCUCUGUGGCUUCAAAUCCAGCUUAUCGUUGAUUCCAUAUUGAAUAAAUGUCUGCAGUCUUAGUUUGCACUUUGUUCUGCAACAUGGAAAUUUGAACUGGUCCACUUCAUCUCGAGCCGCUGGUCCACUGCUUCUCUGCUUUUGGAAAAAGAGCAUAUACAUGCAUGUGUUGGAAGGCUGAUUAGAGACUGGUCUUUACUACCGGCUGCCCUCUAUAUGAAAUAUCAAACAUUUACUUCCUCCACCUAUUCGGAUGCCUAUGCUUGGCUGUUGUAAUUGCAGAUGGAUUUAUGAUGUUGAGCAGAUCACCAUGUUGAAGGCUGAGCAAUUAGAGACGAGUGUUAUUGCCAAAGUAAGGUGAUGAUAAAUAAUAUCCUGUUUGACUUCGUGCAUGUUCAUAUAACAACAAUGUGAUUCGGCAUGCCGAUUCCUUUCUAUCCGCUGAUUUUUGUUUCUCUCUUUAUACGUUUAAAUUUUUGAGGAAAAUACCGCUGCAUGAUUAUAUCGGUUUAACUCCAGUUCACAUUCUUACACAUAUUCCUCCUACCUUUGCUUCAUAUAAGUGUCUUGAUACACUAUUAUAACCAUUCAUGAUCUAAUCACACUAAAUAAGAGAUAAUGGGGGGAGAUUCUGUCCUACCUUUGCUUCAUACAAGUGUCUUUUCAACACCACUGUCCAAAACAGCGGGACCUGUCCAACGCAAAUGUCGAUUACUUGUGUUUUCUCUCCUAAUGAGAUAAUGGGGGAAGAUUCUGCCGCUUUUGAGGCCAUCAGGUACAUGGAGAGCGCCACAAACACUGUGGCGAAGGAUCUGAAAUACAAACGGCUGGGCAAAUUUACUGAGUGUUUGGUUAUCUAAGGCUCAGACUCGAUUAGGCAUUUGACAUGAUAGACAAGCUUGCUAAAGGUUACUUAUAUGAUGUGAGAUACAUGUCCUCCUUUUCAGAUUAGAUUGAUAGUGUGAUGGCAGAUGCCUUUCCUCCUACUUGUGCCAUGGAUAAAUCAACAAAGUUGAUGGUUAUUAUAUUGA